GACGAACGCUGGCGGCGUGCUUAACACAUGCAAGUCGAACGGAAAGGCCCUGCUUUUGUGGGGUGCUCGAGUGGCGAACGGGUGAGUAACACGUGAGUAACCUGCCCUUGACCUUGGGAUAACUUCAGGAAACUGGGGCUAAUACCGGAUAGGAGCUCCUGCUGCAUGGUGGGGGUUGGAUAGUUUCGGCGGUUGGGGAUGGACUCGCGGCUUAUCAGCUUGUUUGUUGGGUAGUGGCUUACCAAGGCUUUGACGGGUAGCCGGCCUGAGAGGGUGACCGGCCACAUUGGGAUUGAGAUACGGCCCAGACUCCUACGGGAGGCAGCAGUGGAGAAUAUGGCACUAUGGGCGGAAGCCUGAUGAAGCAACGCCGCGUGCGGGAUGACGGGCUUCGGGUUGUAACCCGCUUUCGCCUGUGACGAAGCGUUAGUGACGGUAAUGGGUUAAGAAGCACCGGCUAACUACGUG
rnacentral:rRNA from 1 species